CCCCGCCCUAUGGAGAUAGCUCCCUCCCAUUCUGUGUCAAGCUGCCUUCCACACAGCUCCAGAUGUCAGGCUGAACAGCCUCCCCUCAUGCUUGCUGCCAGCCUAGACCAGAAGUGGGAAGUGGACCUGCUAGGAGGCUGUGCACCCAAUGUUUGACAUACACAAUAUUUUCAAGUCAUCUCUAUACACUGACUUCGGUGAUCAUUUUCCAGAAGGGUGUCUGUGUGUCGUCCACUGAGAAGAAAAUGAAGGCUGUAAUAUGAAUACCUACAUAUGAAGAAGGCAAUUACAGAAUAUGUUACUUCAUGGACUCACAUUAGACUUAUAAUCUGGAAAAUUAUUCCAAUCACAUGGUCAGCAUAGUUAAAUAAACUUGUAUUUUAUACUAGUACUACCUCAUCCUAAUUCAGGUGUAAUAAGGCACAGAAUCUUCUUUUUUCAUUUUUAAUGUUUUUAUUGAAAUAAAAAUGCAAAGGUCAACAAUAAUAGCAUUUGUUUGAACAAAGCUUGGUAAUGUAUACUUAGAGCUCCAGUCCUUGGGAAGCGACUUGUGAGGUUUGAAAGUUUGUGGCCAGCCUGUAACACAUGAAGAAGUCAAGACCAAUGUGGGAUAGAGAGGUUUUUAUCUCAAAGAAAAAAAACAAAGUACCACUUGGGUUGAGAAGUUACCCAGGUAUAUGUCAUAUGGGCUACUGUUCACCACGAAGGGGUAUUAAGUAGGCUAGAGUGGUUUGUCAGAGAGUCCCAGGGAUCCAUUUCUUCUAAUAGUUACAACAGGUAGGAUGCAUUCUGGGACCAGGCCAUUAUAGUAGGCUAAAUGAUUGGGAAUCACGUUAAUCAUUUCCAGUUUCGCUUUCCCUUUCACUGUAAUUGUUCACUCUUGCCUGCUUACUCACUAGCUCUCCCUAUUUGUGGCUUGUCUCUCCUCUCCACACUCCAGGGCAAUCUAAUUUUUUCCACACUAGUGACCAGGCCUAUCUUGCAUACAAUAAUCCAGGUGUUCUGUGAGGUACCUAUGACCCAUGCUAGACACUUUAAGAAAGAAUACAGGUGUCUAACAUAGUACUCUGCUCAGUACAUGAAGAGAAUACAAAGUAGAGGAAUCCAGGAAUGAAUUCCCAGUUGCUAUUUUCUCUCAGAAUCUUCAGCAUAUUAAGGGAGAAUUUUUAAUUUACUUAUGUUGAGUUUUUCUCACAAUUAAAACCAUGUAAUUAAGCCCGGGGGUGGUAGCGCACACUGUUAAUCCCAGCACUUGGGAGGCAGAGGCAGGUGGAUUUCUGAGUUCGAGGCCAGCUUGGUCUACAAAGUGAGUUCCAGGACAGCCAGGGCUACACAGAGAAACCCUGUCUCGAAAAACCAAAAAAGAAAAAGAAAAACAAAAAAACAUGUAAUUACAAUGAUGUACAUGGAUCUAUAAGAUAUGGGAAUAAAUAUUAUACAAUGCAGAAAUAAAAUGAAGGGUGCAUGGCACCUCUAAACUAGAAAAUGAAAAGAAAACAUAAAACACCAUGAAAAAGUUCCUUUCUCUAUCAGACUUUCCCUAAUUUGAUGUCGUUUUCAAAUAGCUUAACAGAGUUUACUACUGUUAAGGUCAAUAUAUAGAAAGGAUGAGUGGAAGUUCUACAAGAAAAAUGUUCUCACCGACAGAGACCAGGUUGCUGUAAUUCUCCAACAUCACAUCAAUGUAUAGAGCCCUCUGAGCAGAGUCCAGGCAUUCCCACUCCUCCUGUGAGAAGUCUACAGACACAUCCCCAAAUGUCAACAGACACUGAAACAAAAACGCACAGUGUGACCAUGUGAUGCUGGGCACAGUGCUUUUCUGGAAAUAGGAAGAUGGGAUGUAGAUGAACAAAGAUCAUUACUUAGUGAGAUGAUUUCUCAUGUACUCACACUCUGUAAUGAAUGUUCUACCUCUGUGAAAGCAGGAUGACACAAUAGUCUCACAAGCAUGUCCAUGAAACAGGACACACAAUUGAGGUCUGGACAUGAUUAUCUAUCAUUAUGGACACUUUAUGUCUCUCAGAAUGACAGUGUGCAUGUCUCAGAAGGAUAGUUCGUGAUGAGUACACUUGCUUUAAAAUGCUAUACCUGAAAAUCAUGCUAAACUAUUGACAUUGAAUCAAUCCUGUCUGUAAUUGGGCCUUAUAGAGGAACACAGAUGGGAUGACAUGUGUGUGUGUGUGUGUGUGUGUGUGUGUGUGUGUGUAAGAGAGAGGGGGGUACAAAUUAAUGCACUCAAAUGGAAAUAAUUUUGAAGAGUAUUUAAAAAAUAAAGAUAAAAUUAAUGUGUGGCUCUGCAAUUUCUUUCCUGGGAACAUACCCAGAGAACUCUACAUUCCACUCUAGAUUAUUUACACCCCAUGGUUACUGGUGCUUUAUUCACCAUUGCAAAAAACUAAUCAACCUAAUUGUCUACCACCACAUGAAUGGAUAAUGAAAAUGUUACACAUAUAAAAUGGAAACCUAUCCAAGUAAAGAGAGAAAUGUAAUAGUAAUUUAUAGGAAAGUAACUGGACUUAGAAUGUGUACUAUUAAGUGAGGUCAUACAUUGCCAGAAAGAAUAAAACAUAUUUUCCCUCAUAUGCACAAUCUAUGUAACAAUAUUUGCUUACGGAAACCAUGUACAUGUGGACACAAAAGAGCAUGGAGAAAAGAGAACAAGAAAGAUUAAAUAUCAGGGGCUGAGAUAGGACUAAACGCAGGUAAUGACCACCAGUUGUGAAAAAAAGAUAUAACACUAAUAGCUUUUCUAAUUCUAAUUCAUAUGUUUUUUAUUGCAAUGUCACACUUUUUUGUGUGUUUUCGUGGUAGGUAAGUACAUCAAAACAUAUCAGAUAUUGAAACUAUUAAGUUAAAUCAGUCUCCAGAGUUUUUGUUCCAGGUGACUAAUUUAACCAUAUAAAAGCUCAUUUGUUUGUAUAGAUUUUGGCUCUGGUUAUUUUCAGUGUGUGAUUGGUUUGUUUAUUUCCAAUGUGUCUUAUAAUAAAAAAUCAUAAAAACAGAAAAUUAAAAGCUUGAAAUACCUGAAAAUAUAACAUUUCUAGAAAAGAAGCAAACAUGACCACUGACCUGGGACAUGUUUACUGGAAAAUUAUCCAUUUCUGUUUCUCUUCUCUUCUCUUAAUUUCUCUUUUAGGAACAAUGAAUAGCUGGUUUGUGGUCCUUUCAUAGAAGGGAUCAAAAAGAAAAAGAAAAAGCAGAAAUCAAUACUGAAAUCUACUAAAAAAUAGUGUCAAAGCACAUAACAAGAUUCAAACAUCAGAAUACUAUGAGGAAUCCUGUCAAUGAUCCCAAAACCAAGACAACAUGAGACCAUAUUGGAAGUUUAAAGGGAAAGUCACCAUCAAGCAUAUUGUUGCAUCUAGAAAAAUAAUCUCUUUAAAUUGAUGGAGCGAUAUAAGUGUAUUUCAAGAUAGUCCAAAUUAAUACAAGUCAUUUCACGAAUGCAGCCUAGUAUAUAAUAAAUUACAGAAAAAUAUGCACAAGAGGUAUAAUGAUUAGCCAUGAAAACAUGGGAAUAAUAAACUUUAUUUGGAAAGUAGAUAAAUACGGGAGAACUAAGAAGUAAUCAUCCAUAAGCAAAACAGCAAAAAUACUAGUUCUCACAGAGAAAGAAUAAUAGCACCCAUAAUCCUACCAACAACAUAAAUAAAUAAUAAACAACAAUAAGCAUGAGGAAUAAAACUCCCAUGAACAAAAAAUGUAGCCACUGUGGGUAUCAAUAUGGACAAACCAGUUAAAUAAACAAAUCCUCAAGUUAAAUAAAUCUAGCAUGUGACACAGCUCUUCUACUCCUUUGCAUGUGUUCAAGGGAAUCAAUGUCCUACUCCACAGAUGUUCACUGCUGCUCUACUCACAAUAGCUUUAAAAAGGGGAACAAUUUAAAUGGCCUUCAAUGGACAAAUGGAGAGUGGAAAUGUGGUGCAUAUACACUAUGGAAUAUUAUUAAGCUGUAAAGAAAAUUAAAGUCAGGAGUGUUGCAGGUAAAUAGGUGGCCUAAUAAAAGAUCACAGUCAGUGGAGUAACCCAGAACCAGAAAGACAGGCAUUGCAUCUUCUCUCUCAUAGGAAGUUUCUAGAUCCAAAACUUCUGAUGUGAGUUCACAACCUGGAGUACCUGCAGUAACCAGAAAACUAAAAGCAGAUCAUUGUGGAAUGUGGGGGAAUAAUAGAAAGGGGAAUAACAGGGAACUAAAGGAUCUAAAGAGGAAAAA